rnacentral:tRNA from 1 species
UUUUGGAUAUUUUAAGUGUAGAGAAAAAUAAAUUGUAAAUUUAUUAGUAGGAUUUUAGGUUCUUUCAAAAA